GGGGAGGGUCGAAUCUUAGC
rnacentral:siRNA from 1 species